CCCCCCUCUUUAACCCUGUGUUUAGUUAUGUUUUAUAUGUUUUUGAAAAUUGCUUAAUAAACAUUAUUAAAAAAAAAAAAGAAUUCAGUAGUGACAAAUCAGCACUAGUCCAGUAGCACAACAGAGUGUAUUUCGGGAGAGUUUCCAGGAAAGAAAGAAACCCUUGGAGUCCAUGAGUAGAAAUAUGGUACUAGUCUCUGGCAUAUUAGGAAUUAAAAUACCAGUCCCAGCCAAUGCUACUUGGUAUGCUUUUGGUAGUCCUUUCAUUGUGUCAUCUGACUGUCUGCUUUUAUUUCAUAGGUGGGUCAAAAUGUAGUGACUCUGGUUGCCUCAGGCUGAUGUUCUCUAAUGUCAUGGAAAGUCUGGAUAACAAAGGAGCUAAGACCUAGGGAAAUGCAUAGAAGGAUGGAACAAGAGCACCCCUCCAUGGCUGGAACUUGAGUAUUGCUCCAGAUACCGGAAAUGAAAAAAGGGGGAAGACCUUUACCUCUGUAAAUAGUAUGUUGUUGUGUAAAAGGCAUUGAAUGUUUGCCUCAUAUGUGUUCUGUUAACCGCUCUGAGUCCCUCUGGGCAGAUAGAGCGGAAUAUAAAUAAAGUGUAUUAUUGUAGUAUUAUGGAAUCGGAGUAAUCAUGAUAAUUUAUUUCACUUGUUUAAAUGAUUAUAUAAGAUUUUUGCGUACCACCUCUCAAUCUACUGCAGAUAUUGUGGUGGCAUAUAAUAGUUAAUAACACUUAAGUUACCCAAUUGGAAAAAUGUUCAAAACAAAAGUAAAAAAGCUAUUUUUGAAAAUUGUAUUUAAAUAACAAGAGCACCCCACCCUAAUUUUCAGAGCUAAAAGCCAAACAAAAUAGCUUAGCUGCGUGUUGGAAAUUCAGAAAGGAUAGAUCCAGUGCUACUUCAGAAAAAGCUUUGCCAUAUGAAACUACUAGCUUAGGCUCACAGGAAGUGGGGCAUACAAUGGGGUUUCUAAGGAGAAGGUAGUCUUUCAGAUAUCCUGACCACAAGCUGCAUAGGGCUUCAAAGCACAAGAUUGGCCCCAGGACGUAAGUUAGAAACCAAUGUUGUUCUUAUAAAAUCUGUGUUAUAUGCUCUCUGAAAUUCACACCAGACCACAAUCUGGCCAUUGUCUUUUGCAAUGUCAGCCAUUUAUGAACACUUUUCAACAAAGCACAUUACAGUACUUUAACUGGGAGGCACUAAUUGAUUUGAAUGUUGGACUGUGACUAUACCAGGGAUCAAUUCUUCACUUGGCCGUGUAAACCACUGAGAGACCUUGAAUGAUUUGCACACUCUCAGCCCCAGCAAACCCUGUUCAUCUUAGGGUCACCAUAGUUCCUAAACAAUCUGAAGACACAACAACAACAACAACAACAACAACAACAACAACAACAACAACAACAACAAUGAUUAAAACUUGAACCAUUGUUGCCAGAACAAAGACCAAGGCUUCCAAAGUUGAAAUGUGAUAUUUGAGAGGGAUUAUGAUGCCAAACUCAAACUAGCUUUCCUAUUGAUCAGCAGAACUUCCAUCUCGUUUGGAGGCAGUGAAGAACACCCAGUUCUUCAUUGCAUCAAGACAAUGAUUCAGAUCUUUGCAAUCUCCUUGUCACCAGUUGCAAAAGAGAGUCAGGUAUGAUCAGUGUACUGGGUAUGGGAGACGAAUAAUACCGCAAUUAUUUUACUUUAGUACCAGUUUGAUUCUGGCAAAAAUCUUCCAACUAACCUUCACCUAAAGGAAGUGGGAAGAACUGCUUCCUUUCCAUAUUGGAAAAACAAGGCAAAAGGGUCUUAAGCUGUAUGACAGUUGAAUAAUGUAGAGUCACCCAGUUGGCAAACAAUGUGCUGAUGCAUUAUAAAUCCUUUGUGCAGGCAAGGAAGCACAGUAAGAACUUCAAUACCCACCCUCCUGUACAAGUUUUGGCAUAAAGGGAGGGACUGCUUUGCCAUUUCCUGUGUUAUGCAUAAUUUGUAGUCAGCUCUAUACGAGAUAGAAAAUCUAGCUUUGCCAUAUCAUUGGUUUCUAUUUGAUAAGGCUGGAAUUGUUUUCCCAUCUCCCCACCUUUUCAUAUCUUGAUUCCACUGACUUCAGUUAGACUAAGCUUUGUUUUGUGUUGCUCAUUGAACAAAAGAAGUUACAGAGCAUUGGAUCCAGUCCAAUGUGACUUAGGAUGGCCUCUCAUCAACCUUAUGGGCAUGCAAGGCUGGGAAAUGAGCUCACACCAGGUUUCUGUCCACACUUCUUUGAUCAGACCUGUUAAACACUAGUUCUCAGAAGGCACAGUGAAUCUAAUGCAUAGCUCUUCAUAAAAGCAGUGAGACAGUGUGGGCUCAAGUGAACCUGAUUUAUAAUACACAAAUCAGCAGAUACUACCAAAACUUGUAGCAGAAAUAGAGUAUAUAAAAUGAAAAGGCUGUGAGGCAUGAUUCUCUAUUUUCUUGUAAUUGGGAACUGAAGGAGAAAUUGACAUUGAAAAAUAUAUAUUUUCCUGUGAAAUUGAGAUAAUCUUUUACCAGGAGAGCCAGUGUGGUGUAGUGGUUUGAGUAAUGGACUAUGACUACUCAGUCAUGGAGGCCUAUUGGGGGACCUUAAGCAAGUUACACUUUCUAAUUUUCCAGUCAUUUCUGGAUUAUGGUGACCCUAAUGCAAAUCUAUCAAGGUUUGUUUAGGCAAUAUGUUUUUAAAGAUGGUUUACCUUUGCCUUCCUCUGAGGCUGGAAGACAGACAUGCACAAAGUCAUCCAGCGAAUUUCUAACGAAUUUAAACACAGCAUUUUUCAAGAACCAGAAAUCAGUAUCAUUGGCCAGGAGGCAGUAAUAAUUCGACUGGAUGCUGCUGCUUUAGCCAAUACAGUUGUAGUUAUAGUGCUUUCUUGUACAAUGAAAGACAAUUUGGCUCCCAUAUAGGAAUAUUAAUUAAUUAAAUGAAUGAACUGA